rnacentral:rRNA from 1 species
AGUGAACGCUGGCGGCGUGCCUAAUACAUGCAAGUCGAACGGAAUUUAAAAGAGCUUGCUCUUUUAAAUUUAGUGGCGCACGGGUGAGUAAUGUAUCGCUAAUCUGCCCCUUGCUGGAGGACAACAGUUAGAAAUGACUGCUAAUACUCCAUACUCCUUUUUACCAUAAGAUAAAUCGGGAAAGAAUUUCGGCAAGGGAUGAGACUAUAUCGUAUCAGCUAGUCGGUGGGGUAACGGCCUACCGAGGCUAUGACGCGUAACUGGUCUGAGAGGAUGAUCAGUCACAUUGGAACUGAGACACGGUCCAAACUCCUACGGGAGGCAGCAGCAGGGAAUAUUGCGCAAUGGGGGAAACCCUGACGCAGCAACGCCGCGUGGAGGAUGACACUUUUCGGAGCGUAAACUCCUUUUGUUAGGGAAGAAUAAUGACG